CAAUAGCGUAUAUUUAAGUUGCUGCAGUUAAAAAGCUCGUAGUUGGAUUUCGGGUGGGAAUGGCCGGUCCGCCGUUUCGGUGUGCACUUGCUACGCCCACCUUGCUGCCGGGGACGUGCUCUUGAGUUCACGCUCGGGACACGGAGUCGGCGAGGUUACUUUGAGCAAAUUAGAGUGUUCAAAGCAGGCCUACGCUCUGAAUACAUUAGCAUGGAAUAACACGAUAGGACUCUGGCCUAUCUUGUUGGUCUGUAGGACCGGAGUAAUGAUUAAGAGGGACAGUCGGGGGCAUUCGUAUUUCAUUGUCAGAGGUGAAAUUCUUGGAUUUAUGAAAGACGAACUACUGCGAAAGCAUUUGCCAAGGAUGUUUUCAUUAA
rnacentral:rRNA from 1 species